CACACGAGGCUCUACCCAUGUGUGAAACAGUGGGAGUGGAGAAGGGACAAAGAAAUCUGUAACUGGCUGUGAUCAAUUAGUUGUAAGACACCACUGCACUCGG